rnacentral:rRNA from 1 species
GAGUUUGAUCCUGGCUCAGGAUGAACGCUGGCGGCGUGCUUAACACAUGCAAGUCGAACGGGAAUGCCACGCUGAUGCGAUUUCGGUCAAAUCAUGUGGCAUUCGAGUGGCGGACGGGUGAGUAACGCGUGGGUAACCUGCCUUACACAGGGGGAUAACACCUGGGAACAGGUGCUAAUACCGCAUAAGCGCACAGGGCCGCAUGGCCCGGUGUGAAAAACUCCGGUGGUGUAAGAUGGACCCGCGUCUGAUUAGCUUGUUGGCGGGGUAGGGGCCCACCAAGGCGACGAUCAGUAGCCGGCCUGAGAGGGUGGACGGCCACAUUGGGACUGAGACACGGCCCAAACUCCUACGGGAGGCAGCAGUGGGGGAUAUUGGACAAUGGGGGAAACCCUGAUCCAGCGACGCCGCGUGAGUGAAGAAGUAUUUCGGUAUGUAAAGCUCUGUCAGCAGGGAAGAAAGAAAUGACGGUACCUGACCAA